GACCUAAAUAAACAGCUGGAUUGCAAAUCUAGCUUAGAAAAUGUGAAUUUUCAUAGGUUUA
rnacentral:tRNA from 1 species